rnacentral:snoRNA from 1 species
AAGCACCGGGACGGUCGCACUGCUGGUUCGAUUUUGUGUUGGCAGUGCAUCCCAACGUGCCAGAUGG